ACUCCAGAAAGAAAAUCCCCAGUAGCAAAUAGCAGAGCAGUGAUGGGAUGUGGCCCCAGGCUUUCACGUUGCAGCAAAUGGGGCCUGAAACCUUCCCAGCUGUCCAGCUUCGAUGGUCUUUGCCACCAGAACCAAGCCCAGAGCCUUCGGAUGGCCAGCUUCCCAUUGUCAUGGUGCAAUUGAGGAUUGACAGCUAUGGUCAUGAAGACUCAACCCAUCAUCCCAGUUAUUUGCAAUUCUUAGCCCUUCAUCUGGAUUGGUCAUGAAGCAGUAACCUACAUGCUCCUAUGGAACCCUUGUCCUGAGGAAGGGCUGGGAAGUUUCCAGCACCAUGAUACAGCCACUCCUGCCUAGCCACUACCUUUCUUGUCCUGGCCACAUGGGCUAUGUUGAGCCCAGUCUCUUUUCCCCCAUCCCCUGCUACCAGAUAGCAGA